CCUGGAGCGCAGAAGACAGAGACAGAACGGCUCUUAGCGAUGCGGCGGAUGUGGUCAGUAACACUGUGAAACCAAGUCACCAACGAAAAGUGGGCGUGAUGGUGGGAAGCAGAGUAGAAUGGGAGAGGAGAGGAAGAAAGGAGAGGUAAAACAGGUUUGUACACUGAAUGAACUCAAAAUUCCUGAGGAUCUUUGAUGCUUUUUCCCAGAGCUGAGGUCUGCUGCCAAAAGGGGUCUUACUGAAAAGAUUUAGGCUCCAUAAUCCCCUUCUGCCUGAAAAAUUAAGUGGAAAAAAGAAAAAGGGAGACAGAAUUAAUUGUACUUUACAGUCACAUUACACUGACAUGUUGCUCCAAACCAGUUUCAGCUAGAUGUAGUGCAUGUCACAGACAGAGCUAGGAAUUUGAGGUUGUUUGGGGAGUGGAUUACAGAGUGGCUAUGACACACUUUAAAACACUACUGACUGAAACUAGAAUUGAUGUUGAUGCAUUCACACAUUCCCAGGUUCCAUAUAUGGACUAUUAAUUCCACUGGGUUAAAAUCCAUCUAAGAUCCACUGAUCUUAAAUUUUAAGCUUUAUGUUUUGCAAGCUUAAUAUAGCAGUAAAGUAAGUUUGGUUUACAACACCCGUUUGAUACUGCAGUAGUAAUGAAAGUGAAAUUUGACACAUCUUCACAUGAUUGUUAAAGUUAUAUGCUUGAAGCUUUGCAAACAUGUUUCCUUUUGCAUCUUCAUGUACAAGAUCAAAGAUAACAGUUCAGCCAACCUGAGAUCACAGAGCAUAUAAAGUCAUUUAUAAAGACUACUAGAGAGAAUCACCUGCAUCUAUGCCCAGGUGUUUAGUAAUUCCUCAGUUUGGAGGUGACUAAAUGUGUCAAUACGGUUGACCUGAAUAAUUACUGGCCUCUUUUCCUCAGCUGUAAUCCAAGGUAUUUCACACUGCUGAUCACAAUGUUUGAUAAGCUCCACAUGUGUUUUGACUUAUAACUUGCUGGUAGACCUUAAAUGCCUUAAGGCUCACUAGCAUUGCAAAGUUAAGCCUAUGCAAGCCUAAAAUAAACAGUUGUUCCUUUUGCAAUCCAUAAUUGUUGCUCCACAUGGUAAAAUAGCAUUUGCGACACAUGCCAUUUAUGUGAGGUUUGAAAUUAGGAUUAAACACAAUUUCAGUUGCUUUAAAAAAUAAUUAUAAACUCCAGCUGUCAACCAAGACAUAAAAAAUAUUAACACUGAGAUCUGUGGAUUAACCCCAACCACUGUGUGUGGGCUUGAGCAAUCAUUUUGUUCUUUACAAGUAAUGUCUUGUAAUGUAUAUCCCAUAUUCAAAUAUAAAGAAAUGUAUUUUGAAAAUAGUCUCAUUGAGACAUUAUGCUCACAUUACUCAGCCAUUCCCGUGAGAUUUAUGUGAGCUGACCUUAUGACAGUUUAAUAGCUUGUCUUUUUAUCUAACACUUUUAUGACACCUGAGGUUCAGUGGCCCGCUGUGCCUUUCCGUAAGAGGCUUGGCAGGUGUACGCACACAGCGCCGCCCCGCAGUCUGGAUAAAUCUUGGGUGGUUUGGCUAUCCUAGCUCCAAAAAGCUGCAGAGGUUAAAGGCCACUUUAAUACCCAGCAUUGCCACCCUGAGCUUCCAGUAUGGAUUCGUGCUUGGAUUAGUUCAGGUUGCUGGCUUUAACAGUAAGCGAGAACACCGCACCACAGUAGAAAAACACAGGAUCCACUUUAGUUGUGCCAGAACUCUCAGCAAGCCUUCAAACAAAGAUAUACUUAUGUCACUCUUAGGAUGAGAUGUAUAUUUUGAUUUUGGUGAGAUUAAGCUGAGUGUAUGUGCAAAUGGGAACAGUUAUGUGCAGAGACCUAAUGGAAGCCUAAUGUGUUUUGUAGGCUGUCAUCCUUGUCUGUUCUCUUCCCACCACAGGUUAUUGCACCCACAUUACAAAGGUUUAGCGUGUUAAAUGAUCCUGGAAUGAGUGAUUUAUGGAAACCACUCCUCCGGUCUCCAUCCAGUUGAAACCGGUUAGAACCAUGUGUAGUAGGAAAUGAAAAUCAGACACUGGCACAGUCAAGUCGAGCGUCAGCGGAUCUAUACAAGAGGACAUCACAUGAUGUGGUUGUUGCAACAGAUUAACAUCAAAUGAUAAAAAAAAUCUUUAUUUCAAUUUGUAGUUAGCAGCAUGGCUGGCAACGCAAACUGCUGAUCUACCUACCAUUUUAAUAUCAGACUGAAAUAACAGUUAAAAUGUGAACAUAUUUAACAGGUAGAUUUAGAAGUUCAUUUUUUAUCAAUUUGAUAUCAUGUUCACAAGUUCAGUUCUCUAAAGAUCACUAUAAAUAAUCCCGAUAGGCAAAGAGUUUAAGAGCAUCACAUCAGAGGGAGCGUCGUUUUAGCAGAAUAGCGAAGGUGUCUGAGGACCACAACAGUGUUUAGGAUUUACUAUUCUGCCGUUAAACAUAAAUAGCCAUGUUUAUCCACACAUUUCUCUGGAGACAUUUCAAGAGUCACCCUCAUGGUGACACACUUUAGAGGAAGUCGGGGAAUCACCGGUCAUUAUAUCCUCUAGGAACUACAAGUGUACCGUAAAUCCACUGUGGGAGACUGAGUAAGUGGCAGCUGACCUGCUGGUGUCUGUAGAGGGAAAAAAAAAAAAAAAAAGUCACUUAGAAUCACCCUUAAGGAGCCUUUGCAAACUUUUACAGCAAUCUAUCAUAUUCACUGAGCCAUUUUGGUAAGACAUUAACCCUUGGAAGUCAUACCUGUGUUGAAGUGUACCUACCUGUGCUCAUAAACGCAUACUGCCAUAUAAUGUUAAAGGUUGAAUAUAAAAAAUAUAAAAAUUUUUCUACUGUUCCAGGUUGUGAGCUUUGUUGGUGCAGUUUAUUUAAGGCACAAACAUUUUCCAUCAACUACUUCAGAGGUUUGUCAGACUCUCAUAACUACCACAGUGAAGCAUUCCAGUGAAGCUAAAUACACAAAAAGAUGCAUUUUUGAGCCUGUUGAAAUGUUCUGUUAAAUUAAGCAAGUGCAUCAAAUCGCAGGUGUGAAAGUGAAAAAAAAAAAAAAAGAUUGUCUUCCAGGUUUGCUUAUCAGUGUUACACCCACAGUUAUUACAUUACAACUGAGUAUCAAACGAUAUUCAUAAAAUUCACAAUUAAAACAGAAGUUGUCAUCUCAAGAGCUUUAAUCAUACAUAGAAAUUUAGUUCAACAGUACCAUUCAUUUAGAAUGUUUUCGCAGUAUGUAUAUUUAGUGUAAAGAGCAUUGUUUUUUCUUUUUUCUGAUGGGAAUAUCCAUAAGGAUGACAGAAGCUUUCAGAAAUACACCAGAGAGAGAAGAUCAGAGAAGAGACUGAGUACAUGACUAAGUUGUAACACCUCAGACUAUAUUUUCAAACACCUCAAAAGGCGACAUUUAUCUGUGGUUUAUGUGUCCAUCCUCGUUGAUGCUUUUUUUCCUUUUCAUUUUAACAUAGGAGCAGCAGAUCUUUGAAUGCUUACACAAACUAAAAUACCUGUGCUGCAAGCACCGUUUGAUCAAUGCCCUAUUAUAAUGGAGAAACUCCAAGCACUCUUCUAUGACACCGUUUUGUUGACCUAAUCAAAGCCACGUUAAACUUGGGGUUGUGGUGAACUGUUUUACACUGCUUUAAUGACAGAGGGUGAUCUGGAGUGGAGGACAUUACUGCAAUCAAGUGUCAUAUUAUAGGCAUGAAAA